CUCAAGACCUUCCCUGAUAAUCCCUUUUGAUCUCUCAACAUAAAUUCUGGUGUUGAUGCUAUGAAAACAGACACAGUAUUCCACGAAUGACACAGACAUGGUUCCAGCUAGUGAUGCAUCACAUGGGCUCCUUCUGCUAGUCACGCAUCUCCUCUCUCCCAAAUAUACAUUCAGCGCCAUCAUGUAGUCAAGUGAUGGAACUCCAUCUGUACAAAGGAAUUCACCUCAUUUUUAUGUAUACUUCAGUAACUUGUGUCCUCUGCAAAUUUUAACCUUAAUUCUAUUUUCUUUUAGAAAAUUAUAAAGAAAUAACUGAAUGCAGUGAUCUACACGGUGUCUACAUGGUGCUCCACUAGAAAGUCUCCUUGAAGAUGGUGUCUUCCUGUUCACAGUUAAUCAUUAACAUAAUUCAACUACUUUUAGGUACUGCUAUUCAUUUUAAUUUGAAGAGCAUGGCACAGAAUACCUGCACAAAAUUAUCAAAUUAUAACCUCAUCAAAAGUCUGUUCCAUGAAGAAACAGCCACACUGACCACAUGCAGCCCUGUCUUUAUAAAAACUAAGAUGUGAAUAUCAGAAUGAAAGGAAGAAACAAAGAGUCAUCAUGCAAUUAUCACACGUUUAUAUACGAACCUUGCUGGAAGGGAGGUCCUGCUGAAGAUGAAACUGUACGUUCUCUGUGCCAG
ensembl:lncRNA